GAAACAGCCUUAUGGGGCAGGACUGGCUUCAGUGGGGCUUUGGUGCUCACUGAGUCUGCCCCCUGAGUGUGGCACU
rnacentral:pre_miRNA from 1 species